ANGGUGCGAGCGUUGUCCGGAAUUACUGGGCGUAAAGGGCUCGUAGGUGGUUUGUCGCGUCGUCUGUGAAAUUCCGGGGCUUAACUCCGGGCGUGCAGGCGAUACGGGCAUAACUUGAGUACUGUAGGGGUAACUGGAAUUCCUGGUGUAGCGGUGAAAUGCGCAGAUAUCAGGAGGAACACCGAUGGCGAAGGCAGGUUACUGGGCAGUUACUGACGCUGAGGAGCGAAAGCAUGGGUAGCGAACAGGAUUAGAUACCCUGGUAGUCAAGGGCG
rnacentral:rRNA from 1 species